AGAGAGAGACAUGCGCGCAUAUCAAUAAGCGGAGGAAAAGAAACUAACAAGGAUUCCCCUAGUAACGGCGAGUGAAGCGGGAAGAGCUCAAAUUUGAAAUCUUAAAGGGUUUCCCUUUACGAAUUGUAGUUUAAAGAAGUGUUUUCCUGUUGAGGUUUUGGUAAAAGUUCUUUGGAAUAGGACAUCAUAGAGGGUGAGAAUCCCGUAUUUGACCUUUACUUUCAACUUUGUGAUACACUUUCAAAGAGUCGGAUUGUUUGGGAAUGCAGUCCAAAAUGGGUGGUAAAUUUCAUCUAAAGCUAAAUAUUGGCGAGAGACCGAUAGCGAACAAGUACCGUGAGGGAAAGAUGAAAAGAACUUUGAAAAGAGAGUUAAACAGUACGUGAAAUUGUCAAAAGGGAAGCGUUUGACACCAGUGUUGUUUUUCUGAAAAUCAAUUAAAGAACUGUUUAUGCUAAGUUGUUUAGACUUUAUCAGCUAUCUGUUUAGUUUUGAGCUUUUCUUUAAUGCACUUUUCAGUUAACAAGUCAACAUCAAUUUCUUUUGCUGUAAAAAAGCUUGAGGAAGGUGGCUUGAGAUUCGUCUUAAGUGUUUAUAGCCUCUUGCCUAUGCAGUCGGAGAGAUUGAGGUCUGCAGCGUAGAUCCUUCGGGGCUAAAUGCAUUUGUGCUAAGUUAUAGCAUUUUAUAGACAACUUGUUGACUAUGAUUUGUCUUGUAGCUUACUCGCUUAUGUUAUUUUACCUACGCUUAGGAUGUUGACGCAUGAGAUAUACGC
rnacentral:rRNA from 1 species